GGCUCGUUGGUCUAGGAGUAUGUUUCUCGCUUAGGGUGCGAGAGGUCCUGGGUACAAAUCCCGGACGAGCCC
rfam:Astyanax mexicanus chromosome 23, whole genome shotgun sequence.